AACUGAUACUACCUGCGGGAACCUGCGGAGGGAUCAUUAGCGAGUUGCAAGACUCCCAAACCAUUGUGAACCUACCUGUACCGUUCCUUCGGCGGGCGGCCCACGCCCUAACCUGCCGCCCCUCGCGGGCUGGCGGACCCGCCGGAGGCCCUUAAACCCUUAGCUUCUUUGGCACUUCUGAGUACAACUUUUAAUAAGUCAAAACUUUUAACAAUGGAUCUCUAGAUCGGAAGAGCACAC
rnacentral:misc_RNA from 1 species